rnacentral:rRNA from 1 species
GAUGAACGCUAGCGGCAGGCCUAACACAUGCAAGUCGAGGGGUAGAACACUUCGGUGUUUGAGACCGGCGCACGGGUGCGUAACGCGUAUGCAAUCUACCUUGUACAGGGGAAUAGCCCAGAGAAAUUUGGAUUAAUGCCCCAUAGUAUAUAACCUUCGCAUGUUGGUUAUAUUAAAGUUCCAACGGUACAAGAUGAGCAUGCGUCCCAUUAGUUAGUUGGUAAGGUAACGGCUUACCAAGACGAUGAUGGGUAGGGGUCCGGAGAGGGGGAUGCCCCGCACUGGGACUGAGACACGGACGAGACGACUACGGGAGGGAGCAGUGGGGGAUAUUGGUGAAUGGGCGCAAGCCUGGACCAGCCAUGCCGCGUGCAGGAAGACGGUCCUAUGGAUUGUAAACUGCUUUUAUACAGGAAGAAACCCUCCCACGUGUGGGAGAUUGACGGUACUGUAGGAAUAAGGAUCGGCUAACUCCGUGCCAGCCGCCGCCGUAACAC